rnacentral:lncRNA from 1 species
AGGAAUGAUGAAUUGAUUGACAUAUCCAAAAUUGAACCUUUGGCAGAAAAAUUAACUCAAACUUGCCAAAUUGGGGAAGCAGAAGGAGAGAAGGAUGGUGAUGAUCUGCUGCAUAAUGGUCUGCACUCUUUGUGAGUUGAUAUACCCUUUAUUUUGUUAUGCUAUGUGGAAUGGCUUGAACUUUAAGAAUUUAUGUAGAUUAUAUGGUCAGAAUUUUCAGUUCUAGUAUUGAUCAAUUGAUUUGUAUUUGUAAUACUGUAGUUCCAUUUGUAAUUUAUGAGUUCAGUUUAAAGUUUUAACCCAUGUUUUUGUUUCGUGCUCUGUUUUUUGUUUUUUGUUUCAUCUUUAAUCAUUGUAUCUCUUUUACAUAUGAUGUUAGGAUUCACUUUUUAACCAAGCAACAUAAGUUUAGACUACUUAGUUGGCUAAUCAUCAUAUUGUACCAUGCUCUUGGGCAUGAUUUUUGUUUCACUAGUUGCACAAUGUACCAAUCCUUCCCCCUUACCUUACGAUUAAAGAGAGAGUGUAGACUUGAUCUCUGUUAACCAAAAAAAAGGAAAAGAAAUCAUCACACCAAUGGUCUGUGAGAAUGUUGGUUGGUUCCCCUUCAUCUCAGUGGACAACUGUUACAUAUCACCGCCUAGCAGGGAAGAAACUCCAGUAUGGUUUAAAUAAUCUAAAUUUUGGGUUGUGGCAUGGUUUAAUAUGUACCUAUUUAUAUUUAUCUUCCUAUAUAUUAAUUAAGAAGCAUGAAACACCUUCAGAAUGAUAGACAGUUGUAGUUUCCCCUUAUUAAUUGGUCGGUUAUUCCGUUUAGUUUUCUGCUUUAAAUGGAGAAAACUUUGUGAUCUGCCUGAUCAAUAAGUUUGAGCAAUUGUGUUGUUUUUGUUAAUAUUGCAAUUACUGUAUCUUUAUCGGACUAUGAAUAUAAAGUUUGUGUGAGCUAUGAGAUUUUCUGAGUUUUUUUAUUUUUUAUUUUUAAUGGUGGGUGCCUACGUCAAUCUGAAGGAUAGCAGGAAGUUCAAGUUGGAAUCUGCAUACUAAAUAACUGUUACCUGCUAAGCAUAAACGAAGGAUACACAAUGUUCAUUUAUCUGUUUUUCUAAAUGUUUGAAAUAAUGCAUAGAAGAAAGAAAGUUAUUAUUUACAAAGAAAUACAUCCGGACAAAACAACAUCACGAAAAAUAGUCUUGUCCUCGGAGUAACCUACAACACAUGAUUUUCCUUGUAAACUACUUGUUUCUCAUUAAUAUGUAGCUGAGAUUUGGUGCUUGUGUGAGUUUUACAUAAAUGUUGCAAAAUUGAUAUCUUUAGCUUUUCAAGCCGAGGAAGAAUGGCGCGCCAGUGAAUUUUAGCCACUGGUCUCCUUGAAUAAAUGGACCAGCUGUGAAAAGAAGAGCCUCAUUCCUGUUUGUGAUCACUUUAUAUCCCUUCCACUUGACCCUCUGAGCGGUAUUUGCGCCUGGAC